rnacentral:ncRNA from 1 species
AAGGCGGAUCCCGAAAAGCCGUAACAGAGUAAGGA